rnacentral:rRNA from 1 species
ACGUAGGUGGCAAGCGUUGUCCGGAAUUAUUGGGCGUAAAGCGCGCGCAGGCGGAUUGGUCAGUCUGUCUUAAAAGUUCGGGGCUUAACCCCGUGAUGGGAUGGAAACUGCCAAUCUAGAGUAUCGGAGAGGAAAGUGGAAUUCCUAGUGUAGCGGUGAAAUGCGUAGAUAUUAGGAAGAACACCAGUGGCGAAGGCGACUUUCUGGACGAAAACUGACGCUGAGGCGCGAAAGCCAGGGGAGCGAACGGG